CAGCUCUCAUCGGUGGUGGCCAAGAAGUUAUCUAUGUCGACUCCUUCAAGUCAGUUGGCCUCCCCAUUUUUCUCCCUUUAAGGACAUUUGCGUACAUUUGAUUCGGAUGGUUCUGAUUUAGUUGGUUCCUGUAUUUAAAUACGGACUUUAAUUGUUUUUUGCCCUAGGGCUCUGUCACAUCAGACCCUUCCUUCAGACGGUCCUUCUGAUUUGUGACAGAGCCUUGGGCUCUGUGAUUGUUGAGGCUGAGGCUUUUCGGGUCUUCUUUGAUGCUUUGGUUCCAUUAUUUAAAUGCGGAAUUUAAGAUGUUUUUUUUUUUCAAAAGUAAAGCCGGCAUCUCUCCGAGAAGGAACAUUAUGUGAUGCGGCUUCUGCAGGUUUUCCCUUGACUUAUGGGUUACCGCAUAAGGGGACACAUGGACUGCUGACACUCGAAACUUAAUUCAAAUUGAGAGCGUUAUGCACUUUACGCAGAAGUGA